rnacentral:rRNA from 1 species
ACUCAAAUGAAUUGACGGGGGCCCGCACAAGCAGCGGAGCAUGUGGUUUAAUUCGAAGCAACGCGAAGAACCUUACCUAGACUUGACAUCUCCUGAAUUACUCGUAAUAGAGGAAGUCACUUCGGUGACAGGAAGACAGGUGGUGCAUGGUUGUCGUCAGCUCGUGUCGUGAGAUGUUGGGUUAAGUCCCGCAACGAGCGCAACCCUUAUUGUUAGUUGCUACCAUUUAGUUGAGCACUCUAGCGAGACUGCCCGGGUUAACCGGGAGGAAGGUGGGGAUGACGUCAAAUCAUCAUGCCCCUUAUGUCUAGGGCUACACACGUGCUACAAUGGCUGGUACAGAGAGAUGCAAUACCGUGAGGUGGAGCCAAACUUCAAAACCAGUCUCAGUUCGGAUUGUAGGCUGAAACUCGCCUACAUGAAGCUGGAGUUGCUAGUAAUCGCGAAUCAGAAUGUCGCGGUGAAUACGUUCCCGGGCCUUGUACACACCGCCCGU